rnacentral:rRNA from 1 species
UACGAAGGGGGCUAGCGUUGCUCGGAAUCACUGGGCGUAAAGGGUGCGUAGGCGGGUCUUUAAGUCAGGGGUGAAAUCCUGGAGCUCAACUCCAGAACUGCCUUUGAUACUGAGAUCUUGAGUUCGGGAGAGGUGAGUGGAACUGCGAGUGUAGAGGUGAAAUUCGUAGAUAUUCGCAAGAACACCAGUGGCGAAGGCGGCUCACUGGCCCGGUACUGACGCUGAGGUGCGAAAGCGUGGGGAGCAAACAGGG